rnacentral:rRNA from 1 species
GACGAACGCUGGCGGCGUGCUUAACACAUGCAAGUCGAGCGGUAAGGCCCUUUCGGGGGUACACGAGCGGCGAACGGGUGAGUAACACGUGGGUGACCUGCCCUCAGCUCUGGGAUAAGCCUGGGAAACCGGGUCUAAUACUGGAUAUGACUCCAUGACGCAUGUUGUGGGGUGGAAAGCCUUGUGCGGCUGAGGAUGGGCCCGCGGCCUAUCAGCUUGUUGGUGGGGUGAGGCCUACCAAGGCGACGACGGGUAGCCGGCCUGAGAGGGCGACCGGCCGCACUGGGACUGAGACACGGCCCAGACUCCUACGGGAGGCAGCAGUGGGGAAUCUUGCGCAAUGGGCGAAAGCCUGACGCAGCGACGCCGCGUGAGGGAUGACGGCCUCGGUG